AUAUCUAGUAUGUGUAUAAACAAUCACACCAGAUGAUCAUGGACCACAACCUAAUGUGAUUAGGCCCGAGCCAGUAGGCCUAAUCACUCACAUCAAGAUCUAUGUGUGCAACGGUGCAUCUCCAUGCCUUGUGAUCGUCCAUCUCGUGGGUCCCGCUAUCGCAUCCACGCUCCCACUGCGCCUCCUCAUGUGAUUACAACUUAAUCAUAGGCACGCAGGCC
rnacentral:lncRNA from 1 species